rnacentral:rRNA from 1 species
AUUGAACGCUGGCGGCAUGCUUUACACAUGCAAGUCGAACGGUAACAGGCCGCAAGGUGCUGGCGAGUGGCGAACGGGUGAGUAAUGCAUCGGAACGUGCCCAGUCGUGGGGGAUAACGUAGCGAAAGCUGCGCCAAUACCGCAUACGAUCUGUGGAUGAAAGCGGGGGACCUUCGGGCCUCGCGCGAUUGGAGCGGCCGAUGUCAGAUUAGGUAGUUGGUGGGGUAAAGGCUCACCAAGCCGACGAUCUGUAGCUGGUCUGAGAGGACGACCAGCCACACUGGGACUGAGACACGGCCCAGACUCCUACGGGAGGCAGCAGUGGGGAAUUUUGGACAAUGGGGGCAACCCUGAUCCAGCAAUGCCGCGUGCAGGAAGAAGGCCUUCGGGUUGUAAACUGCUUUUGUACGGAACGAAAAGGCUCUGGUUAAUACCUGGGGCACAUGACGGUACCGUAAGAAUAAGCACCGGCUAACUACGUGCCAGCCGCCGCCGUAACAC